ACGGGAGGCAGCAGUGGGGAAUAUUGCACAAUGGGCGCAAGCCUGAUGCAGCGAUGCCGCGUGAGGGAAGAAGGUUUUCGGAUUGUAAACCUCUGUCAACAGGGACGAGAAUGACGGUACCUGUGAAGGAAGCUCCGGCUAACUACGUGCCAGCAGCCGCGGUAAUACGUAGGGAGCAAGCGUUAUCCGGAAUUACUGGGUGUAAAGGGAGUGUAGGCGGGACUGUAAGUCAGAUGUGAAAUAUGCCGGCUCAACUGGCAGACUGCAUUUGAAACUGCGGUUCUUGAGUGAAGUAGAGGUAAGCGGAAUUCCUAGUGUAGCGGUGAAAUGCGUAGAUAUUAGGAGGAACAUCAGUGGCGAAGGCGGCUUACUGGACUGACACUGACGCUGAGGCACGAGAGCGUAGGGAGCAAACAGGAUUAGAUACCCUGGUA
rnacentral:rRNA from 1 species